GAUGAAGCAAUGAGGUAUCCCAUGCGUCAGUUUUAUCGGCACUAUUUUAUCGUGACAGAGAAGAUGUGCUGGCUUUGCGGGUUAAGCGUUCUACAACGUUUAGUCAUGCCUGAAGAACGGAUACCGUGGGAGGGGAGUUACUUUGACUACUGAUUUGCAGACAUCAUGUGUGACUGAGUAUUGGUGUUAAUCGCCACGCCAGCAGUGAAUACCUGCUGGCUUUUUU
rnacentral:sRNA from 1 species